AAGGUUUUAAGUUAAUUAAAACUAUUAGCCUUCAAAGUUGAAAAUAUAGAUAUAUUGUAAGCCUUA
rnacentral:tRNA from 1 species